CUACGGGGGGGCAGCAGUGGGGAAUAUUGCACAAUGGAGGAAACUCUGAUGCAGCAACGCCGCGUGGAGGAUGACACUUUUCGGAGCGUAAACUCCUUUUAUAUAGGAAGAAGAUGACGGUACUAUAUGAAUAAGCGCCGGCUAACUCCGUGCCAGCAGCCGCGGUAAUACGGAGGGCGCAAGCGUUACUCGGAAUCACUGGGCGUAAAGAGCGUGUAGGCGGAUUAAAAAGUCAGAAGUGAAAUCCUAUAGCUUAACUAUAGAACUGCUUCUGAAACUCUUAAUCUAGAAUAUGGGAGAGGUAGAUGGAAUUUCUGGUGUAGGGGUAAAAUCCGUAGAGAUCAGAAGGAAUACCGAUUGCGAAGGCGAUCUACUAGAACAUUAUUGACGCUGAGACGCGAAAGCGUGGGGAGCAAACAGGAUUAGAUACCCGUGUAGUC
rnacentral:rRNA from 1 species